rnacentral:misc_RNA from 1 species
UCCACGCACAUGCGCAUAGAGUGCGGGUGUUCGAUCCUGAUCUCAUUCUCUUCAUCGUUAUCCCUUCCUCGCCUUUCCUGAUACCGCUCUAUUUAGGGCAGCGAUGGCCAACUCGCGCGCAAGCACCCUUGCCGCCGCUGCUGCUGCUGCUGCCUCGACUGCAGCCGUCAAGCCGCUGAGCUACGUCUCGCUGUGCAGCCACGACGGCAAGCGUAUUAUUCUCCCUGUGGCCGCCGCGGCGGGGUCGCGUGUCCUCCACGGCAUCUUUCAGGGCCUGUACGUGAUGCGGCUGCAUCAGUGCAACUCGCCCGCGGACCAGCCACCGCAUGAGCAACACGAGCAGUACCCGAUGGCGGAAGAAGAUGAGCAUCAAGGAGAGCUUCACAUUCCAAGGCCCGGCAGCAGCAGCAGCGGCAGCGAUGCCGCCAACAAGGCGCACGGCAGUGCUGAGGUAAAGGUGGACGAUCCGAUCCCCAUCAUUGAGGACGAGGAUGACAUCGAAGAGGCCGAGGCCAGACACCAGGCCAAUGGCGCCGCCUAUCGAAGCUACGCCGCUGUAUUUCCCAGCAACGUGGAGUGUGUACCGCCACCGCCUCCGCCGCUCUUGUCGACGUCGCCGCCUGCUACGCCGUCGCCACGUGUGCCGCCGCUUCUUGAAGUGCCGAUUCGCUCACUGGAGUCCAGCACGCUGAUGCGUGUUGCCGAGUUUCUUGUGGUGAAGAUCACGCUAGCGAGUCAUCCACAUUACCUACACGAAGCUAACGUCUUUGGCGACCUGGACCGCACCUCGGAGCGGGACCAGCUUGUGGCGAUGCAGGUGUUACUGGGGGCUGACUUCCUGAACUGCUAGACCCGCGGUAUUUGGGGGGGGGGGGCGGCGAUGCAGCGCUGUCUGCGAGGAUGUUUCUGUGGGCCUGUAUGCGCGUGCCACGAAGGUCACCCGGUGCCGCGGGGCAUUUCGUUCGGCUGGCUUGUCCUUGUCCCCCUUUCCCAUCGAGCGCCCUCCAACGUCGGCAUGCGCACGCACGCACACUCCUACGCAGGUACGCGCAAGCGACCCCUUGGCCUGGAGGGAAACAGAGCAUGCGUGGCCGAUAGUCGUCCCCUCUCUCUCUCUGCGUGUGUGUAUGCUUGCGGUUACCCCUCUCUCCUCUUCGUCAGCCUUUACGCGCUCACAGCAUGCACAUGUGCACACACCUAUUCCAGUGUGUGGGUUUACCUGUGUCUCGUCGUCGCAUGCCGGACCGUCUGUACAGUCCCCUGCCCUCUCCGUCUGUCUGCGUAUCUGCCUGUGUACGUGCCCCUCCCCUCUACCCUCACCACCACCGUCUUAUCAACACUUGCGGAGGGCAUGACAGCGGCAGGAGCACACAGGCAAGACACGCGUUGGAAACUAGAGAUUUCAAAGAAUAGGUACAGGCAAGCGCAGGCGCGCGAGAGAGAAGGCACAGGUUCACUGACUAAUCAACGGGAUGGGUGCAGAUGUGUUGGCUGCGGCUGCACGCUGCGCACAGAGUGAGCGGUAGAGGAAAUCGCGCGGGCCCGUGCGCAUGCAGACAAGCGGAAAACAAAUCAUGGCGGGACUGCGGUGCCAACGCGUCCAACACAUGUGUGUCGUAUCGUGCACGCUGCACUACUGUGCGCGUUGUGGCGAAUGGACACGAAAAGUCGGGGGCGGGGGGCAGCUCAACAGAGGAUGUGCACCCGUUGCUCUUACCCACCACCACCACCACCACCCGUCCCCGCGCAUCGUCUUCUCUGUUCCUUACUCUCCUUCUCCUUUUUAUGUACACCCACACACAACAUACAUACGUACACGCUAG